AGAGUGAAAUGACCAACCUCUUGAUUAUGUUCAUAUCUCGCCAACUGUGAGUAUUUACAGAAAAAUAAAUAUGCUUGACAUACGGCAUCAUCCCAGAUGUUCACAUAUAAAGCCCAAAAUAUCACAUCCUAUCCAUAAUAGGCAUGUGAGCCCCCAUAAGCUAUCUUACACGGGAACUAAGAAAUUUGACUUCUAGCUGUUUUUAUAAAGAUGUUACAUCAAUUGCAUUGCACAUGGCUCAAAAUGUCAUUAUAGUUGUCUUAAGGCACAAGGCUUCAGACCUUAACCAUCUCGGAGACCAUAGGCCCAUAUAACAUAGUCAAGGUUAGGUACCCUCGAUAACCUUGGAUAGGAGAAGUGUUAGGUUGGCAAAAAGCUAUAGUUCUAUAAUUUAGAGUACCAUUUCUUAUUUGAUCCCUUUGAAUUUGAAAAACGUGAGUAGAUUCGACCUUCAUAGAAAUAAACACGUUGUAAAACUGCCUCUUUAAUUUGGGUCAACUGUAGAUGCUUUUCCUCUCAGCUAAGGUCACGUGAAAGGCUUUACAUUUUGCUAUUGAGCUUGCUUACCUUAGGUUCAUUUGAAUCUUGUAGACAUCAAGAUGGUCCAUAGUGUCACCUUUGUCGUGGUAAGGCACAAUCUUUGGCAUUUUGAAGUUUAAGAAAAGGAGCCGGACAUUGAUAUGUAGAAGAGAGGGUCGUCGACAUCAUCGUCUCUCCUACAGACUUGUCGGUCUAGCCCGCAUCAUCGCACGAGGUCUUUACUCCUCAAAACCGUAGGUUAUUGAGGCCACUAUAGAUAGCCCCCAUCUUCUAGGUAAAUAGGUUAUUGCAUGACUUUUUGAUUAGCUAGCCAUCAUGUAACCUGUUACGUAGACAGAGGCGUAAUAUACAAUAUAUAAUCUUUUGUAAUAACUGUUGAAAUAUGUAUGGGAAUCAUAGGUCUUGGAAUUCGUCUACAAACAUUGGAGAGACAAGAAGGAAAAACAUUGACUCAUUUAUCGGAGCUAACAGUCAAUUUAACAAGAGCACAACAUAUUGAUCCCAUGUGAAGGAGCUGAAACGGCCUUUACCUUGAGUUUUAACACUUCAUUUACUUAAAGUUUCAGCCUUGCGAGAUCGUAUCAUGCCAAUCUAUCAUUUUCACAUAGAUUACUAAUAUUAAAAUAUUUAUAUUUCAUCAAUUUUUCAAUAACAAAUAAAAACAACAUAUUUAAACGAUUUUUAAAAUUUUAAAAAUAACAUACAUCACAUUUUAACUACAAUUAAUUUGUUAAUUGUUUAAAAACACAUAUAUCUAUCUCAAAAUAUUCGCUAAAUAAGUAAAUCAUAUUAACAGAGCUUUAGAAAUAAAUGCUAUCAAUAUGUAUAAAAAAUAAAAUUCAUAUUAUCACGUGUGUUCCCAGUGUACCAACACACAAUAAAAGAAAACAGAUGAAAGUUUGCGAAGCAAAUCAAGAAAAUUCAAGAAUUGAAAAUGCCUCUGCAGUGCUUAUCUCUGGUCUCCAAAUGCACAAUUUUCCCAGCCCAUAAAUCCAAUUUGGGUGUCUUUGAACUUUCUGUUUCAAACCUCCCCAUGCUCUCUUGCCACCAUUGGCGAAUCUAGGAUCAAAGUUCAUAUAGGUGGACCAUUGAUCGUUGACAAUUGACCGUUGACAAUCAAUGAUCAUAAUAACAACAUCGUUUAUUAAUAUUUGCCUUCUAUAUCUUGUUUUUGAUUAAAAUUGAUUCUAACAUAUUUGCAUUUUUAUUUCUUUCCCCUUCUUAUUCAACUACAUUCUCUCUUUCCCUUUCUUAAUUCUUAUUCUUCUAUUUUCUUCUCUCACAGAUAGAUUAGUCCACAGUCUCAUCUAGUCACUUAAUACCUUUCUAAGUUCUACACAUUACUCAUCUACUUUGUUCUCUCACAGAGUUACAUUCAUAAUAACUAAUAAGUUAAUAACUCUGAAGCAGUGGCGAAUCAAAAUAUUGAAAAGAUAAAUUGUGUAUUGUUAGCUCACUGAUUUUUUAACAAAAAUACUAUGAAUAGAAACAAAAUUGAUUAGUGAGGAAGUAAAAUAUAGCUUAACUAAGUUGGGCAUGUAGAGAUCAAAUGGGGAAAUUUGGAAAGUUUUAUUAUCAGCAAAUUGUUCAACUAUACUACUUCAACCCAGAAUCAUAUUUAUAGUAGAAAAUGUGUGAAAUCUCGUUUUACAAUCGCUCAAGCGAAAUUGACAACUUGCAUUAAAUUCAAAAUUCAAAAUAAAUAAAUUUAUGCUCCGAAAUAUAAAUUUUUAGACAAAAUAUUCUUGGAAAAACCUUAGGGCAUACUCUAAUGGUGGAGGUUGGUGUAAAACUUGGUGUCACGCCGUCCAAGCAAAACCUUUGAUCCAAUCUCCUACCAUCUUCAAUGCGCAAUCAAUAAUAAUGUGCAUAUAUCUUUCUUUCAUCUCUCUUAUUAGUAGCGUAUUGUAUAAAAAUGAAAAUGGAUAAAUUAUCCCAAUGCUGCCAUAUUCAAAGUUAUAUACAUACCCGCUUAUCAUAUAAAUAUACCCAUCUUACCAACACCAUAUUAACCAACCUCUCACAAACCCGACAAAUCUCUCUCCCUCUCUCUCUAGCAGGACAAGAUAAGCUCUCACACCAAAAAGAAUAAAAAAAGUUUGCCGGACUUACCAAUUACCGUUACAGUCAGAGAGAGAGAGAGAGCUGGAGCCUGAAGAAAGUGGCGGUCUUAUAGAGACGGAGAGGCCAGUGUCGGGCUCGUCGGUGGCGACAACAGUCACAACGUCAGUGUUCAGUUGUUCACUGCCCGUUGGGUUCACAAUUGCAGCCUUGCUUGCAGGACAGAACAAGGGUUUGCAAAUUGCAAAUGAAAUCUGUUUUUUAAAAUGGAUUGUCAACUAAUUGUGGGUUUAUAAUUGGG
rnacentral:lncRNA from 1 species